rnacentral:rRNA from 1 species
GACGAACGCUGGCGGCGUGCUUGACACAUGCAAGUCGAACGGUAAGGCCCUUCGGGGUACACGAGUGGCGAACGGGUGAGUAACACGUGGGUGAUCUGCCCUGCACUUCGGGAUAAGCCUGGGAAACUGGGUCUAAUACCGGAUAGGACUCCUGGCUUCCUGGUUGGGGGUGGAAAGCUUUUGCGGUGUGGGAUGGGACCGCGGCCUAUCGGCUUGUUGGUGGGGUAAUGGCCUACCAAGGCGACGACGGGUACCCGGCCUGUGAGGGUGACCGGUCAAACUGGGACUGAGAUACGGCCCAGACUCCUACGGGAGGCAGCAGUGGGGAAUAUUGCACAAUGGGCGCAAGCCUGAUGCAGCGACGCCGCGUGAGGGAUGACGGCCUUCGGGUUGUAAACCUCUUUCAGCUAUGACGAAGCGCAAGUGACGGUAGUAGCAGAAGAAGGACCGGCCAACUACGUGCCAGCAGCCGCGGUAAUAC